UGGAGAGAUAGAUGGCUCAGAGA
rnacentral:piRNA from 1 species